AGAACGAACGCUGGCGGCAGGCUUAACACAUGCAAGUCGAACGGACGUAGCAAUACGUCAGUGGCGCACGGGUGAGUAACGCGUGGGCAACCUACCUGAUGGUACGGAAUAACUGCGGGAAACUGCAGCUAAUACCGUAUGUCCCCUAUGGGGGAAAGAUUUAUCGCCAUCAGAUGGGCCCGCGUAGGAUUAGCUAGUUGGUGAGGUAACGGCUCACCAAGGCUUCGAUCCUUAGCUGGUCUGAGAGGAUGAUCAGCCACACUGGGACUGAGACACGGCCCAGACUCCUACGGGAGGCAGCAGUGGGGAAUAUUGGACAAUGGGCGCAAGCCUGAUCCAGCCAUGCCGCGUGAGUGAUGAAGGCCUUCGGGUUGUAAAGCUCGUUUUGGCGGGGUACGAGUGAUGACGGUACCCGCGAGAAUAAGCCCGGCUAACUUCGUGCCAGCAGCCGC
rnacentral:rRNA from 1 species